rnacentral:tRNA from 1 species
GUUUCUGUAGUGUAGUGGUUAUCACAGUCACCUAACAUGCAAAAGGUCCCUAGUUCAAAACUGGGCAGAAACA